rnacentral:tRNA from 1 species
GUAACAGUAGCUUAAUUAAGAGCAUUGGUCUUGUAAGUCAAAAGUGAAUUCUAUUAUUCCUGUUACU